UACGGAAGCAGCAGUGGGGAAUAUUGCACAAUGGGCGCAAGCCUGAUGCAGCCAUGCCGCGUGUAUGAAGAAGGCCUUCGGGUUGUAAAGUACUUUCAGCGGGGAGGAAGGCGAUGCGGUUAAUAACCGCGUCGAUUGACGUUACCCGCAGAAGAAGCACCGGCUAACUCCGUGCCAGCAGCCGCGGUAAUACGGAGGGUGCAAGCGUUAAUCGGAAUUACUGGGCGUAAAGCGCACGCAGGCGGUCUGUUAAGUCAGAUGUGAAAUCCCCGGGCUUAACCUGGGAACUGCAUUUUGAAACUGGCAGGCUUGAGUCUUGUAGAGGGGGUAGAAUUCCAGGUGUAGCGGUGAAAUGCGUAGAGAUCUGGAGGAAUACCGGUGGCGAAGGCGGCCCCUGGGACAAAGCUGACGCUCAGGUGCGAAAGCGUGGGGAGCAAACAGGAUUAGGAUACCCGGU
rnacentral:rRNA from 1 species